rnacentral:rRNA from 1 species
ACGGAAGGCAGCAGUGAGGAAUAUUGGUCAAUGGAGGCAACUCUGAACCAGCCAUCUCGCGUGAAGGAAUACGGCCCUAUGGGUCUUAAACUUCUUUUAUAGGGGGAUAGAGUGAGCCACGUGUGGCUUUUUGUAGGUACCCUAUGAAUAAGCCACGGCUAACUACGUGCCAGCAGCCGCGGUAAUACGUAGGUGGCAAGCGUUAUCCGGAUUUACUGGGUGUAAAGGGCGCGUAGGCGGGGAUGCAAGUCAGAUGUGAAAUCUAUGGGCUUAACUCAUAAACUGCAUUUGAAACUGUAUCUCUUGAGUGCUGGAGAGGUAGAUGGAAUUCCUUGUGUAGCGGUGAAAUGCGUAGAUAUAAGGAAGAACACCAGUGGCGAAGGCGAUCUACUGGACAGUAACUGACGCUGAGGCGCGAGAGCGUGGGGAGCAAACAGGAUUAGAUACCCUGGUA